rnacentral:ncRNA from 2 species
UCCGUUCAUCUCUACCGGCUUUGCGAACUACCUGAUUGUUAGAUCCCCGGCAGGGACGGAAGUAGGGAGUUGUCCCGAAGGAACGCGGC